GCGUCCUGCCUCGUGAUCGUCUUCUCACCCUUCACGCGGGCAGGUCGAGGAAAGAAGGAAGGCCCCCUGCGCGGACGUGACGCGCGGGGGGCCUUC
rnacentral:ncRNA from 1 species